AGAGUUUGAUCAUGGCUCAGGAUGAACGCUAGCGGUAUGCUUAACACAUGCAAGUCGUACGGAAAAGAAAUUUUUAGUGGCGAACGGGUGAGUAGCGCGUGAGAACUUGCCUUUAGGAAGAGGAUAACAUUUAGAAAUAUUUGCUAAAACUCUAUAUGCCGUGAGGUGAAAAAAGUAAUUUGCCUAAAGAGAGGCUCGCGUCUGAUUAGCUAGUUGGUGAGGUAAUGGCUCACCAAGGCGACGAUCAGUAGCUGGCCUGAGAGGACGAUCAGCCACACUGGAACUGAGACACGGUCCAGACUCCUACGGGAGGCAGCAGUGAGGAAUUUUCUGCAAUGGGCGCAAGCCUGACAGAGCAAUACCGCGUGAGGGAUGACUGCCUACGGGUUGUAAACCUCUUUUCUCAAGGAGGAAGAACUGACGUUACUUGAGGAAUAAGCAUCGGCUAACCCUGUGCCAGCAGCCGCGGUAAUACAGGGGAUGCAAGUGUUAUCCGGAAUUAUUGGGCGUAAAGCGUCUGCAGGUGGAUUUAUAAGUCUUUUGUUAAAUCUUUGAGCUUAACUCAAAAUCUGCAAAAGAAACUAUAUAUCUUGAGUAUGGUAGAGGUAAAGGGAAUUUCCAG
rnacentral:rRNA from 1 species